ensembl:lncRNA
CAGAGGGAGCAGUGCCCAGCUGACACAUUGACCUUGGACUUCUAGCCUCCAAACUGGGAGACAAUAAAUUUCUGUUGCUUAAGCCACUCAGUUUGUGUGCUUUGUUUUGGCAGUCCUAGCAAACUAAUACAUCCCCCAAUCCAGAACUGUCCUCCUUUGGAUAAUGAAAACAGCAAUAAUUAUAGUAUUAUUACCCUGAGUGACUGGUCCCACCAUUGGGCAUUCUUUUUAGAUGUGAGUUAUUGCCCUAUUGAGAUCAGAAGUCCUCUCACUUAGAGGCAUAUCUAAGACUUUUUUUCUUGUGGAGGGAGCUCACUCAACUGUAGGUAAGUUUUGACUGAUCUGGGUUAGUAGUAAGAACAAACUUCCAAGUGGCACUAUCUUCAAGGUGCAAGCCCAUUUGGGCGAUGACCAGGUCUGGUAUAUUAAGAGGCCCUUCGUAGCACAUUAGAAUCACCUGGAGAGAUUUUAGAAUUUACAAAGCCUAGCCAAACCCCAGACCCAUUAAACCUGACUCUCUGAGAACAGGACCCUGGCACCUGUGUUUUAAGGAUUCUAGGUGAUUUCAGUGUGUAGCCAAGGUUCACUGCCAUAGCCUGUCCUGGAAUCCAGGUAACUAAAACUUCAGCAGAUUACAAAAAUCAAAAGUUACUUUCUUGGAUGCAUAUAUUCUUAUAGCCUCAAAACUGAAGCUGCAAACUGAACAAUGCUGCAGUCAGAUACACACACAUAUUCCAACUGCAUAACUUCCUUUAAUAAUACUUUUAUUUUUCCGAAUUUUUAGACUGUCCCUAAGUCCAGUUUCUUUUAAAAGUUAGUAAUAAUCCCACCAACUCACAUUUACAUAGAAGUUACAGUUUAAAGUUUGCAUGUCAUAAUAACUUGGUGAGAUAGGGCAAGCAUUAUUUCUAUUUUGCAUGUGAGAAAAAAACUAAGCCUCAGAUAAGUUAUGUGACUUCCCUGAGUCAUGUUAGAGUAACUGACUCCUGAUUUUUAAACUGGAGGUCCCAAAUCCUGGGAACUCUCUCAGCUCUGGGCAAGCCAGGACAGGUGGUCACCCUGCACCUACACAAGGACUGAGCUGAGUCCUAGUUACCUGCUGUGAAGAACUGUAGAGGUUAUCUACACCAGCUCCUCCUUUUACUGGAAAAGGAAAAGACUUAGGUAAGUCUCCAAAACCCCUGCUGGAGCACCUUCUACUUCUAGAAAGAUGUUGAGGGGCUUCCAGGUCACAAAGGAAAGAGAAGUAACUAUGUCUCCUUCCCCAACCAUGUAUGUGAUACAUUCAUUCUCUGGGACUGGAAAUUCCCAGACAGCUGUGUCAGCAAUGAGAUUUGUUUCAUUGUUUUGCCUUGUUUUGUCAUUGAGUUGUUAUAGUUUAAGUUUAUUAUUUUUUAAUACAGAAAAAAAGUGACUUUUGGGGGAGUGCAGAGUUCUAUGAAUUUGUAACACAUGUCUAGUUAUUUUACCACCACUAUAAUCAAGAUACAGAACAGUUUUAUCAUUUCAAGUGCUCUCCUGCUGUGCUUUUAUAACACACCCUUCCCCACCCCAACUCCUGGCAAUUACUGCUCUAUUCUCCGUAACUGUAGUUUUGCCUUUUCGAAAAUAUCAUAUAAAUAAUCAUGUAUUACGUAACCUGAGACGGGCUUCUUUCACCCAGCAUAAUGCCUUUGACAUUCAUCCAGAUUGUUGUGUGUAUCAGUAGUUUGUUUUUAUUACUGGGUUUUAUUUCAUUGCAUGGAUAUACCACAAUUUGUUUAGCCAUUCACCCACUGAAAGUCAUUUGGGUUGUUUCUAGGCUUUGGUGACUAUGAAAAAAGCUGCUAUCAACAUCCACAUAUUGGUUUUUCUGUGAACAUAACUGUUCAUUUCUCUAGAUGAAAUACCCACAAGUAGGAUUUCCAGAUUUUGUGAUAUAUUUGUUUUCUAUUGCUGCCCUUAAAAAUUACACAAACUUAGUGACUUAAGCGUUACAAAUUUAUUAUCUUACAGUUUUGUAGGUCAGAAAGGUCUUACUGGCCUAAAUUCAAAUUAUCAGCAGGAUUGUAUUUCUUUCUGGAGGCCCUCAGAGAGAAUCCAUUUAGGUUCAGUUCCUUGAGGUCAUGGAACUUGCCUUUUGACCCCCUUUCUCCACCUGCACAGCCAGCAAUGGACAGUCAAGUCCAGUCCCUUCAAUACAUCUCUUUCUAACCCUUCUCUCAUCCUCUCUGACCUUUCUUCCAUUAUCAUAUCUCUCUCUCUGACCCAACCAUGAAAGGUUGUCUGCUUCUAAGGAUUCUUGCUUAGAUUGGGUCCACCCUGAUAAAAUUCAGGAUAAUUUCACGAGUUCAAAGUUCAUACUCUUAAUCACAUCUGCAAAAUCCCCUUUGCUUUUAAAGGUAACAUCUUCAUGUGAUCUGGAAAUUAGGGUAUGAGCAUUUGUAGGGGAGAGUGUUAUUCUGCCUGCUUAUCUUUUCAAGAAACUUCCAAGCUGUUUUCUAGAAUGGCUGUGCAUUUAAUAUUCCCAUCAGCUGUGUAUGAGAGUUCUAGUUGCUCCAUGCCCUUGUCAGCACUUGGUACUGUCAGUAUUUUUUAUUUUAACCAUUCUCAUGGGUAUGUAGUGGUAUUUCAUCAUGGUUUAAAUUUGCAUUCUUCUCAUGGCUAAAGAUGUUGAACAACAUUUCAUCUGUUUAUUUUUCAUCUAUUUAUCCUCUUUGGUGAAAUUUCUGUUCAGAUAUUUUGCCCAUUUUUUAAACUGGGUUGUCUUCUUGCUGCUGGGUUUUAAGAGUUCUUUAUACUGGAUACAAGUCCUUUGUCAGAUAUGUGAUUUUCAAAUAUUUUCUUGUCUAAAUCCAACUUUUCCAUAUUUCACCUAUAUACCAGUUGCACACAUACAAUUUUCCUGCACCUCAGGUUGUGUUUAGGUUGGCCUAGACCACAGAGUGAUCUGAUUUGGGUUUCUAAGCCAGGGUUUUCAGAUCUGAGAAUGUCUCUGCCUUCUCCAAGUUAUAGUAAAUCCCAGAUAUCUACCUAUCACAAAUCUCUCCACUCCUAUAUUCCUCUUAGAGAAUGCAACUUUUAAUCUAUUAAAACAUUUCAUUUAUAAGAUCAAAGAAUUUUAAAGGGAAACACUGAUCCUUAAAAACAUGGCAUCUGCAACUCCUUUCACACUAAUGUCCCUACAUUCCAACAAACAUUUUUUGAGUGCGGAUGUGGCCUUCAUAAGAGAACCAUUGGCCGGGCGCGGUGGCUCAAGCCUGUAAUCCCAGCACUUUGGGAGGCCGAGACGGGCGGAUCACGAGGUCAGGAGAUCGAGACCAUCCUGGCUAACACGGUGAAACCCCGUCUCUACUAAAAAAUACAAAAAAAAAAAAAA